GUGAGUGUCUCUCCCCUUUUGGAGUGGCAAGCACCUGCUGUCUGCCAGUGCUGAGUGACGGCUGCUGGUGGAAUCUACGUGGGAAAGCCCUUCACCAUCAAAAGCUUUGCCUUGUCACUGCAGGCGCGUGGCUGGGGGAGGCCAUCACUGAGAGGAGCAUCUUUGCCUCUGCUCCGUGCGAACGUCGCUCACCCCCUACACCGAGCAGCUGGAGAGGGAGCUGAGAAUCUGAGCACAUGGGCUGAUUUUGCAGAGGUGGGUGAGGAAAGUCUGUUCAAAUAAAGGUGUGACUAAUUUAGCUCCGCGGUGUCUGAAAAGCCCUAAUGAAAGACUGUCGACGACAGCUUCAAAAGCCAUUUGGUGAAGUGAUUUCCAACCCCACCCAUAGUCUUGGUACCAAAAGCAAAUA
rnacentral:lncRNA from 1 species